CCCGAAAGGGUGACCCAGCAACGCCGCGUGGAGGAUGAAGGCCGUAAGGUUGUAAACUCCUGUUAGAGGGGAAGAAAAACUCCGAUAGAAUCGGAGACUGACUGUACCCUCAGAGGAAGCCCCGGCUAACUACGUGCCAGCAGCCGCGGUAAUACGUAGGGGGCAAGCGUUGUCCGGAUUCACUGGGUGUAAAGGGCGCGUAGGCGGGCUAGCAAGUCAGAGGUGAAAUCUCCCGGCUUAACCGGGAAACUGCCUUUGAAACUGUUAGUCUUGAGUGCGGAAGAGAGAGACGGAAUUCCAGGUGUAGCGGUGAAAUGCGUAGAUAUCUGGAGGAACACCAGUCGCGAAGGCGGUCUCUUGGUCCGUAACUGACGCUCAGGCGCGAAAGCGUGGGUAGCAAACAGGAUUAGAUACCCUGGUAGUCCACGCUGUAAACGAUGAAUACUAGGUGUUGGGUCGAAAGGCUCAGUGCCGCAGCUAACGCAUUAAGUAUUCCACCUGGGGAGUACGAUCGCAAGGUUGAAACUCAAAGAAAAUUGACGGA
rnacentral:rRNA from 1 species